rnacentral:rRNA from 1 species
CCUUGACAUACUAAGAACUUUCCAGAGAGUGGAUUGGUGCCUUCGGGAACUUAGAUACAGGUGCUGCAUGGCUGUCGUCAGCUCGUGUCGUGAGAUGUUGGGUUAAGUCCGCAACGAGCGCAACCCUUUUCCUUAUUUGCCAGCGGGUAAUGCCGGGAACUUUAAGGAUACUGCCAGUGACAAACUGGAGGAAGGCGGGGACGACGUCAAGUCAUCAUGGCCCUUACGGCCAGGGCUACACACGUGCUACAAUGGUCGGUACAAAGGGUUGCUACCUCGCGAGAGGAUGCUAAUCUCAAAAAGCCGAUCGUAGUCCGGAUCGCAGUCUGCAACUCGACUGCGUGAAGUCGGAAUCGCUAGUAAUCGCGGAUCAGAAUGCCGCGGUGAAUACGUUCCCGGGCCUUGUACACACCGCCCGUCACACCAUGGGAGUUUGUUGCACCAGAAGUAGGUAGUCUAACCGCAAGGAGGACGCUUACCACGGUGUGGCCGAUGACUGGGGUGAAGUCGUAACAAGGUAGGCGUAGAUGA